AAAUCAUUACCCUGGACGGUGGAUCACUU
rnacentral:sRNA from 1 species